UGGUUCUCGCAUCGAUGAAGAACGCAGCGAAAUGCGAUAAGUAAUGUGAAUUGCAGAAUUCAGUGAAUCAUCGAAUCUUUGAACGCACAUUGCGCUCCCCGGCAUUCCGGAGAGCAUGCCUGUUUGAGCGUCAGUAUACACUUCAAACUCCUGUAUGGGAAUUUGGUCUUGGGCUUUGCUGCCAAACGCGUCUACGUGUGUCGGCCGCUGGUCUGAAAUGGAGUGGCCGAGUCAUUCAUGCCUUGUGCCUUCAGCGUAAUAAGUUGCUCUACAACGAUAUCGCUGAGAUUGCUCUUGGUAGAAGCUUUGCCUAAAGCCCCCCACUUGACAUUUUGACCUCAAAUCAGGCAGGGAUACCCGCUGA
rnacentral:misc_RNA from 1 species